UACGGAGGGUGCAAGCGUUAAUCGGAAUUACUGGGCGUAAAGCGCACGCAGGUGGCUGAGUCAGUCGAUUGUGAAAGCCCUGGGCUUAACCUGGGAAUUGCAGUCGAUACUACUCAGCCAGAGUAUGGGAGAGGGCAGUGGAAUUCCCAGUGUAGCGGUGAAAUGCGUAGAUAUCGGGAGGAACAUCAGUGGCGAAGGCGGCUGCCUGGCCCAAUACUGACACUCAGGUGCGACAGCGUGGGGAGCAAACAGG
rnacentral:rRNA from 1 species